rnacentral:rRNA from 1 species
AGUCGUACGCGAAGACCCGCAAGGGGUUGUUAGCGUGGCAAACGGGUGAGUAACGCGUGGGCGACCUACCUCAGAGUGGGGGAUAACCCUUCGAAAGGAGGGCUAAUACCGCAUGACAUGCUCUGUUUAGAUACAGGGACAUCAAAGCCGGGGAUCGCAAGACCUGGCGCUUGGAGAGGGGCCUACGUCCGAUUAGCUAGUUGGUGGGGUAACGGCUCACCAAGGCGACGAUCGGUAUCCGGCCUGAGAGGGCGGACGGACACACUGGGACUGAGACACGGCCCAGACUCCUACGGGAGGCAGCAGUAGGGAAUUGUUCGCAAUGGGCGCAAGCCUGACGACGCAACGCCGCGUGGAGGAUGAAGACCUUCGGGUCGUAAACUCCUUUCGACCGAGAUGAAUACCUUUCGACCUAAUACGUUGAGAGGCUGACAGUAUCGAGGGAAGCAGCCCCGGCUAACUCCGUGCCAGCAGCCGCGGUAAUACGGGGGGGGCAAGCGUUGUUCGGAAUUACUGGGCGUAAAGGGUUCGUAGGUGGCCAACUAAGUCAGACGUGAAAUCCCUCAGCUUAACUGGGGAACUGCGUCUGAUACUGGUUGGCUUGAGUGCAGGAGAGGAACGCGGAAUUCCAGGUGUAGCGGUGAAAUGCGUAGAUAUCUGGAGGAACACCGGUGGCGAAGGCGGCGUUCUGGACUGCAACUGACACUGAGGAACGAAAGCCAGGGGAGCAAACGGGAUUAGAUACCCCGGUAGUCCUGGCCCUAAACGAUGAAUGCUUGGUGUGGCGGGUAUCGAUCCCUGCCGUGCCGAAGUUAACGCGUUAAGCAUUCCGCCU